GAUCAUGAUGUACUCCUGCUCAUGGGCACUAGAGGAGGUUAGCAGAGCUAGAGGUGGACUGAGCCCUCUCCCAGGCUUGUCCAAACAGCUCUCCUGAAAGCAGUCAUGCUUUAUGAACUGAUCCCAAUUAUUUUCCAGGAUCAUUUAUAUUGGUCUCUUGUCUAGGAACAUGCUUGCAGAGAUUAGGUUUUCAAAGCAAUCCAUUGGGGACCUGAA
rnacentral:lncRNA from 1 species